GACGAACGCUGGCGGCGUGCUUAACACAUGCAAGUCGAACGGAAAGGCCCUGCUUUUGUGGGGUGCUCGAUUGGCGAACGGGUGAGUAACACGUGAGUAACCUUCCCUUUACUUUGGGAUAACUUCAGGAAACUUGGGCUAAUACCGGAUAGGAGCUCCUGCUGCAUGGUGGGGGUUGGAAAGUUUCGGCGGUUGGGGAUGGACUCGCGGCUUAUCAGCUUGUUUGUGGGGUAGUGGCUUACCAAGGCUUUGACGGGUAGCCGGCCUGAGAGGGUGAACGGCCAAAUUGGGACUGAGAUACGGACAAGACUCCUAAGGGAGGCAGCAGGGGGGAAUAUUGCACAAUGGGAGGAAGCCUGAUGAAGAAAAGCGGCGUGAGGGAAGACGGCCUUCGGGUUGUAAAACGCAUUCGCCUGAGACGAAGAGUGAGUGACGGUAAUGGGUAAAGAAGCACCGGCUAACUACGUG
rnacentral:rRNA from 1 species